UGACAAAAGCUAAAGGAAAGCAUUUAUGAUUCGUGGUGGAACUAAUCCGGUUAUAAAUAAAAAGGUAUCAAGGUUGAUAUUAAUCAUAUUAACAUUGAUUCGUGAAAGGCCGAUGUAGAAAUCCAAUUAUUUUUUAAUAUAAAAGACAUUGAAUACACAUAAAUCAAAUUAACACUUAUUUUGAAAUUCAAGAGCAUAGGACAUAUUAAACGUUUCUACUAUCACGUAGUUCACGUUACUACGAAUCCAUCGUGACAAGAAUGGGCUAAAACAGAGCUAAAACGC
rnacentral:lncRNA from 1 species